rnacentral:ncRNA from 1 species
GGAGUGGAGCCUGCGGCUUAAUUUGACUCAACACGGGAAACCUCACCCGGCCCGGACACGGACAGGAUUGACAGAUUGAUAGCUCUUUCUCGAUUCCGUGGGUGGUGGUGCAUGGCCGUUCUUAGUUGGUGGAGCGAUUUGUCUGGUUAAUUCCGAUAACGAACGAGACUCUGGCAUGCUAACUAGUUACGCGACCCCCGAGCGGUCGGCGUCCCCCAACUUCUUAGAGGGACAAGUGGCGUUCAGCCACCCGAGAUUGAGCAAUAACAGGUCUGUGAUGCCCUUAGAUGUCCGGGGCUGCACGCGCGCUACACUGACUGGCUCAGCGUGUGCCUACCCUACGCCGGCAGGCGCGGGUAACCCGUUGAACCCCAUUCGUGAUGGGGAUCGGGGAUUGCAAUUAUUCCCCAUGAACGAGGAAUUCCCAGUAAGUGCGGGUCAUAAGCNNNNNNN